rnacentral:rRNA from 1 species
UACGGAGGAUGCAAGCGUUAUCCGGAAUCAUUGGGCGUAAAGCGUCCGCAGGUGGCCUAUCAAGUCUGCUGUCAAAGAGUGGAGCUCAACUCCAUAAAGGCAGUGGAAACUGGUAAGCUAGAGUUCGGUAGGGGUAGCAGGAAUUCCCAGUGUAGCGGUGAAAUGCGUAGAGAUUGGGAAGAACAUCGGUGGCGAAGGCGUGCUACUGGGCCGAAACUGACACUCAGGGACGAAAGCUAGGGGAGCGAAAGGG